UCAUGUUGACUUGAAUCUGGUGGUAUGUCUACCAUCUUUUCCUUACCUUUGCUUUAUUUCUUUUUUGGUCUUGUUGUAUGUGAUGUGAGCAUUUGUCUAACUUCCACACUUGUAGCCGAGGGAUGAGAAUGAAGAGGAUGAUGUUGAGAACAUCAAGUUACCCACUGUGGUGGAGGAGAUCAACGAUUGGUAACUAUUCUUCCUACAUGUUUCACUUGUCAUACGAUACCAAAUAUUAUUUAUGUGAAUGUUGCUUAUUUUACUUGUAGACAUUCAUCAUGUGGAUGUUGAUCUUGCUAUUUUGGAGAUGAAUGUCAAAGUGAUCUUUCUCAUGUGAAGGCUACUUUUGCAUUUCUGUUAUGUUGAAACCUUUCAAGUCAUUAACUAUGAAUUGUCACUGCUAGCUUGGAGAUGAACCUCUCAUCUGUGCUAUGUUUAACUUGUCAAUUGACAUGGACUUGGAAUUGUCAUUGCAAGUUUGUAAUCGUGUCGUUCAAUGAUGAUAAGACCUUCUGUUUGUGGAUGUGAUAUUUGUGCUUAACCUGAUUUGUGCCAUCUUUCCUGUCAAUAUCAGUUUGUG
rnacentral:lncRNA from 1 species